AUUUCUUUAGGAAAUUUGUAUUGGAAGGAUACAGAGAAGAUUAGCAAAGCCCCUGCACAAAGGAAAUUUGUAUCAGGAGCAAUUUA
ensembl:snRNA U6 U6 spliceosomal RNA